UACAGAGGGUGCAAGCGUUAAUCGGAAUUACUGGGCGUAAAGCGUGCGCAGGCGGUUUUGUAAGUCUGUCGUGAAAGCCCCGGGCUCAACCUGGGAAUUGCGAUGGAGACUGCAAGGCUAGAAUCUGGCAGAGGGGGGUAGAAUUCCACGUGUAGCAGUGAAAUGCGUAGAGAUGUGGAGGAACACCGAUGGCGAAGGCAGCCCCCUGGGUCAAGAUUGACGCUCAUGCACGAAAGCGUGGGGAGCAAACAGG
rnacentral:rRNA from 1 species